GACGGUAUCGUCUAGUGGUCUAGGACGCACGGUUUUGAUUACUUUCGAGCAAGUCAAACCUCCGUGCAACCUGGGUUCGAACCCCAGUACUGUCU